AAUCAACGCUGGCGGCGCGCUUAACACAUGCAAGUCGCACGAGAAAGGGGAGCAAUCCCUGAGUACAGUGGCGUACGGGUGAGUAACACGUGGAUGAUCUACCUUCUAGUGGGGAAUAAC
rnacentral:rRNA from 1 species